rnacentral:rRNA from 1 species
UGGAAGGAGAAGGUGUAACAAGGUUUCCGUAGGUGAACCUGCGGAAGGAUCAUUG